AGCAGCCGCGGUAAUUCCAGCUCCAAUAGCGUAUAUUAAAGUUGUUGCAGUUAAAAAGCUCGUAGUUGAAUUUCGGGAUCAAGUCGUCGGUCGUGCUCAGGUACGUACUGGCGUCAUUGAUUUCUCCCUUCUGACGAACCAUGAUGUCAUUAACUUGGUGUCAUGGGAAAUCAGGACUGUUACUUUGAAAAAAUUAGAGUGUUUAAAGCAGGCUCACGCUUGAAUACAUUAGCAUGGAAUAAUGAAAUAGGACGUUCGAUCCUAUUUUGUUGGUUUUAGGAUCAACGUAAUGAUUAAUAGGGAUAGUUGGGGGCAUUAGUAUUCAAUUGUCAGAGGUGAAAUUCUUGGAUUUAUUGAAGACUAACUACUGCGAAAGCAUUUGCCAAGGAUGUUUUCAUUAAUCAAGAACGAAAGUUAGGGGAUCGAAGACGAUCAGAUACCGUCGUAGUCUUAACCAUAAACUAUGCCGACUAGGGAUCGGAUGAUGUUAAUUUUUAAUGA
rnacentral:rRNA from 1 species